CUGUAGUCCCGUGGUCGGUUAGAGACAUACAAAUAAUAAUAAUAAUCAUUUAUUUCGGAUUUCAUCCAUAUAGUGUUAGUGUUACAAAAGACUUACAGCUACGUUAGUACAAUUAAAACUCUAAAAUAAAUAUAUUAAAUUAACACUUCAUAGAAAUUGAUUAGAAUUGGAAUAAAUUACAUUAAAAUUAUAACUUCAUUGAACAAUAAUAUAAAUAUCAAAAUUAUAUUCAAUUCAAAUAAAUUUAAUUUAAAUACCUGUCCUCAGCCCCUAGCCCGCGGCAAUGUCUACGUGACCAGUGCAUUCGAAAAGGGCAGUCGGGCCUCUCAGCAAUAGCCCUCAGGAUGCUAUUGCUACCACGCAUCCUACGCAUCAGAGAUGCCGUUCUUUUGCGCAUAAUAGCCUCAAAACUAUCUACACCAGCCUGAGCAAACAUGUUUGACGCGCUACAGAACCGAGGAAGCCCCAGCAGCACCCGAAACGCGUUAUUGUAUUGAAUACGAAGGGAGUUGUCGGCCUUCUGCGUAUAUCUGACCCACAGGCUACAUGUGUAGAAUGUUUGGCAAUACGCCCUAAAUAGCGUAACUUUUACACUUCUUGUACACCUUGCAAACCUGCGAGCCAGCAUAUUACAUCGAACCGACAACGCCCUACGUUCCCUCUCAAUAUCCUCAUCAUCGUUCAGAUUGUCGGUCAGAAUGUGCCCAAGGUAUUUAAACCGAGAAACUCUCUUUAGCGCCACCCCAUAUAAAUAAACUGGAGGCACUGUCGUUGGUUUUUUUGUGCCUGUCCGAAACACCAUAAACUCACUUUUUCUAACAUUGUACAGUAGGCCAUGUGCCACCGCGUAUCCUUCACACAACCCAAGUAACUGUCUAAGAGCAUCAAUCGAGGGACUCAGCAGCACCAUGUCAUCAGCAUAGCUUAUACUAUUGAUAGUCAUGCCAUCAAUAGAACAUCCAAGACCAGUACUGGCAAGGUCCUCAACUAGCUGAUUUAUGUAUAAACUGAAGAGUGCCGGUGAUGUCGAACCUCCCUGCCUUACACCACACUCCAGUCCAUACUCACCAGAUAACGCCCCAGACCAUUUGACCUGAUUAACCUGGUUGUUGUACCAAUACUCCAGGAGAUUAACCAUCUCAUGAGCUACUGCUUUUUCCCGUAAUUUAGUCCAUAAGAUCCUGUAAUUAACCAGGUUGUUGAGUCGUCCCACUCGCUUCAACCGCGUCCACGACAAGUGGGGGCGACUGUGACGUCGUGGUGCAACGGCUCGCCGCGUAUGCGCGGAGUCUGAGGUCAAAUCUUGCUUAUGCGCACCGGCCGCGCCCACGCGUUCUUACUACUUUAAUUCUUAUUUGCUUAAUUGUACUAUAUUGUUAUAUUUAAAGUCAUUAUACGUAUUUAUAUGUUAUACAGUCCACUAGUAUUAUUUACUCCACCUGCUGAGCUAUCGUCGCAACAUAUGGUCCUUCUCCCAAGAAAAAUUGAACUGGACAAAGAAGACAAAGGACUUUGGAGGACAUCGUACACGUCACCGAGUGACUCAGAGAUUAUUAUCAAGUUUCUUCGCUGUGAACAUUGUUACGUCGUGAUAUAUCGGCACGGCUUGAGACUUUUCGGCCGUCUUAGCUGACGUCACCCAACUGACACGAGAAGAAACGGAAUUUGGGCUACUCAUCAUUCGUCAUCAUAACGGACAGCAAAUACACGUGUUCGGAUUGUCGUCGUGCAUUGAGAUAUCUGACAAGAAUACUCCUCGGCACAGUCAUCAUCAGUGGUUUGCACCGGAAAACAGUGAGCUCGUUCCAAUUCCUUAUUUAAUCAUCUCAUCAUCAUAAUCAUAUUCAUUAUCAUCCAUAUCCUGCAUUUCAUUCAUUUUUUACCUCAUAAUAAUUAAAGAACGGUGUUACAUUUUUUGCAAGUCAUCUCCACAUUAUUUCAUCAUAUUUCAUCCCAUUUUACCAUUUAUUUCAACUGUUUCAUCUCUUCAUUCAUUCAUUUCACUAUAAGUUAAUCAUAUCCAUUACAGUGUCGUUUUAUAUUUCAGCCAAAAUCGAAUAUUAUUAUCUUAUAACGUUAACAUUACACAGCGAUUAUCAGUGCACAAACGCCUUGCAUUUUUAAAUAGCAAUACGCAUUCUGCUACAAUCUUGCUCGUGCACUUUAUCUUGCAACUCGUUGCUAUCGUUUUAUUGGAAGUGUUAACUUGCUGUUAGUUUAUAUAUUUCCUUAGUGCUUUAUUACCAAAAUCUAUCGCCUUCUCUUAAAAUGUCUGACAUUAAAAGCCUUAUUAAGAAACGUGCUUCAAUUAAAGCAAAGCUUACGCAAUUUUCUUCAUACUUGAACAUUUCCAAGUCAUGUGAACAGUUGAGCGAAGUUCAGAUUGUUGAGGUUGAGUAUAGACUUAAUACUAUCGAAAAUCUAUAUGAUAAAUACGACGUGUUACAGGCCGACAUGGAAGAGAUGGUGGACGACCUUAGCGAGCAAUAUGCGGAGCGUGAGGAGUUCGAAAAGCAGUACUACAGCUUGGUGGCUGCAGCACGUCAGCUGAUCAGCAAUGCUCGCAAGCAAGCUUCAGGGAACUCCAUAGCCGAGCGCUGGUGAAUGUGUCGGAUGCUAAAGGCAACGUUCAUACUGCACGAACCCUGCUGGAUAACGGGAGUACGACUAACCUUAUGUCACAGGAGUUGGCUCGUAAACUUAACAUUUCCACCUAUACAGUCGAGUCUAAGGUAACAGGCAUUAAUGAUCAAUCCUCUUAUUGUACACAAGGUUGUUCGAUUUCAUUAAAGUCAGUCAAUAGUGAAUAUGACAUCGAUAUUGAUUGCUAUGUCGUGUCCAAAAUUUCAUCGUGUGUACCAAAUACAUAUAUUGAUGUGCACAAUAUAAAUAUACCUACCAAUAUAGUCCUGGCUGACCCUCAGUUUUACGUUCCAUCUUCUAUAGAUAUUCUUGUAGGUGCUGAAGUCUUUUGGAACGUUUAAGGUACUAGCCGUAUAGACUUAGGUAAAUCCAUGCCUACUUUAUUUGAGUCCAAAUUGGGAUGGCUGUUAUCAGGAGUCAUCAAGCAAUCAAAUUCUUCUUCUCAUUUAUGUUUGCUGGCUGAUACUUUGCAGGCAGACUUAAACCGUUUUUCUAAGCCAGACUCAGUUUCAGCAAAACAUCUCACGCGCGAAGAGCGUUCUUGUGAGGAAUUAUCUUUGAAGUCCACUUACCGUGAUGCGGAUGGACGCUUCGUAAUUAGCAUACCACUUAAGGAAUCUCCUGACAUAUUGGGUGAUUCCUAUAACAUGGCUAAGCGCCGCUUAGCAUUACCCUACACAUUAGGGCUGAACUGGAGGUGCUCAUCACAUACCUUUUCUUUCUCCAUGUCAAAUGCAACUUCCAGUAACAUUGCCACAAAACGUAAGAUUUUGUCUGUCAUUGCUCAGAUCUUUGAUUCUAUUGGCUUGGUCGUUCCUUGCAUAGUGGAAGCCAAGAUAAUCAUGCAGCAACUGUGACUGAUAAAGUGUUCCUGGGAUGAGCCAGUUCCCGAACAUAUUCAGCAUCCACGGGACAGCUUUCAAAAUAGCUUACCUUUUUUAAAUGAUUUUAGGAUGCGUCGGUGGAUCACGUGUGAAUCAUCAUCUUCUGUGCAGUUGCAGGUGUUUACCGACGCAUCUGAAAGGGCGUAUGGUGCUUGUUUGCAUGUCCGCAGCGUAUCGCUUAGUGGUGAGGUUCACAUACACCUUCUUACUGCUACAAGCAAAUUAGCGCCGGUCAAGUCAACGACCAUCCCCCGACUCGAACUUUGUGCUGCGUUGUUGAGUUCGAGAUUAUACGUAAAGGUACGUCAGUCACUUACACUACAUAUUGACGGCGUCUAUUUCUGGUGUGAUUCCACCAUAGUCUUGGGUUGGUUGUCCGCCUCACCCACGCAACUUAAGACCUUCGUUCGCCAUCGUGUCUCUGAAAUUCAGGAAACUGCGGAGGGUAGAACUUGGCGUUACGUUCCGUCACAAAAAAACCCCGCAGACCUCGCUUCGCGUGGACUCAGAGCAGAUAAGCUGCUUUCUUCUUCGCUAUGGUGGUCGGGACCACAAUUUUUAUUCAAGGAUUCAUCUACUUGGCCUCAAUUUCCUGAAUCGCAUCAACCCACUCAAAAUCUACCAGAAACAGUAACUUCUUCUUUUCUUCUUUUCAUACCUUCAAUCAUAACGACAACAUCAUUUCUAAAUUAUUUACAACAUUUAAUAAAAUACAACGUUUUACCGCAUACUUACUUUUCAUUAACAUUAAAAUUAAAAAACAAACAGUUUGUCCUGGUCCACUUACAUCUAAAGAGUUGAAUAGUGCAUUACACAUUAUAUGUAUUAAGAUUUUGCCAACAGGAGUCAUUUCCUUCGUGUUGGAGUUGUAACAAUUCCUUUUAUGAUUACAAUAUAUUAAACUCUAUUCUUUAAGCAACUAAACAUAUUGGGCCUUACUACAAAAACUUUAAACCCUAUUUUACACUUGUCUAAUAAAAUUUUGGCUGCAAAAUGAACCAUAUGUCAACGUCAUAAUUUGACAUUUUUUUAGACAAGGCAUAAACUGACGUUUAAAAGUUUUUGUGGUAAGACGGAUUAUUUGUAAAUUCUUAUUUGACAUGUAUCACCUACGACUUUUACAUCUUUUACCGAAAUUGCUUCUUACAACACUUCGUCACCAUUCACCCAUCAUGAUAGCUGACCGUAGGGACUUAUCAAGUGCUUUACAUGUGUGUUUGUGUGUUUAGCCACGAGGGCCGUCCAUCUUGAACCUUUAUCCGGCUUUUCUGGCUGCCAUGAACCGCUUUAUUGCUCGUAGGGGGAAGCCAAGUAACAUUUUCUCAUGUCUAGCAUUGUCCGCAGUUAAGUCAACCAAACACCAUCUCAGACGCAUCCUUGUAUUAACGAAUUUAACUUUUGAAGAGAUGGUAACAUGUUUAAUUCAAGUAGAAGCUAUCUUAAAUUCCAGGCCCUUAACUCCACUUUCCGAUGACCUUUCCGACCUUAUUCCCUUGACGCCUGCCCACUUCCUUAUUGGACGAUCGCUCAUCUUGUUGCCUCACCCACAGGUCCAGAACGAUAACGUGAACAACUUGCAGCGGUUCCGUCGCAUCGAAUGUUUAAAGCAACAUUUCUGGUCACGCUUCUCACAUGAGUACAUUUUGUGGCUCCAACAACGAACCGAAUGAACGAAAUGGCUCCGAUCGUCAGGGGAACUUACAGAAGGAACCCUUGUCGUCAUUAAGGAUAAAAGCUCACCUCCUCUGUUAUGGCUUUUAGGACGGAUCGUUAAGGUGCUUCCUGGUAGAGACGGCAUUGCACGAGUCGCCGACAUCCGCACACGUAAGGGUGUCAUUCGGCGAGCGUUCAACACUAUUUGCCCGUUAGCCGUCGCCACUGCUGUUGAAGACACUUCAACGGGGGGAGUAUGUUGAGUCGUCCCACUCGCUUCAACCGCGUCCACGACAAGUGGGGGCGACUGUGACGUCGUGGUGCAACGGCUCGCCGCGUAUGCGCGGAGUCUGAGGUCAAAUCUUGCUUAUGCGCACCGGCCGCGCCCACGCGUUCUUACUACUUUAAUUCUUAUUUGCUUAAUUGUACUAUAUUGUUAUAUUUAAAGUCAUUAUACGUAUUUAUAUGUUAUACA